rnacentral:rRNA from 1 species
GAUGAACGCUGGCGGCGUGCCUAAUACAUGCAAGUCGAGCGAACGGACGAGAAGCUUGCUUCUCUGAUGUUAGCGGCGGACGGGUGAGUAACACGUGGAUAACCUACCUAUAAGACUGGGAUAACUUCGGGAAACCGGAGCUAAUACCGGAUAAUAUUUUGAACCGCAUGGUUCAAAAGUGAAAGACGGUCUUGCUGUCACUUAUAGAUGGAUCCGCGCUGCAUUAGCUAGUUGGUAAGGUAACGGCUUACCAAGGCAACGAUGCAUAGCCGACCUGAGAGGGUGAUCGGCCACACUGGAACUGAGACACGGUCCAGACUCCUACGGGAGGCAGCAGUAGGGAAUCUUCCGCAAUGGGCGAAAGCCUGACGGAGCAACGCCGCGUGAGUGAUGAAGGUCUUCGGAUCGUAAAACUCUGUUAUUAGGGAAGAACAUAUGUGUAAGUAACUGUGCACAUCUUGACGGUACCUAAGCAGAAAGCCACGGCUAACUACGG